GACGAACGCUAGCGGCGUGCUUAACACAUGCAAGUCGAACGAUGAACCGAGAGCUUGCUCUUGGGGAUUAGUGGCGAACGGGUGAGUAACACGUGAGUAACCUGCCCUGGACUCUGGGAUAACCCCGAGAAAGCGGAGCUAAUACCGGAUAGGACCCUGUACCGCACGGGGUGGGGUGGAAAGUUUUUUCGGUUUGGGAUGGACUCGCGGCCUAUCAGCUUGUUGGUGAGGUAAUGGCCCACCAACGCGUCGACGGGCAGCCGGCCUCCGAGGGUGACCGGCCACACUGGGACUGAGACACGGCCCAGACUCCUACGGGAGGCAGCAGUGGGGAAUAUUGCACAAUGGGCGCAAGCCUGAUGCAGCAACGCCGCGUGCGGGAUGACGGCCUUCGGGUUGUAAACCGCUUUUAGUAAGGAAGAAGGGGCUUCGGCCUUGACGGUACUUGCAGAAAAAGGACCGGCUAACUACGUGCCAGCCGCCGCCGUAAUAC
rnacentral:rRNA from 1 species